rnacentral:rRNA from 1 species
GACGAACGCUGGCGGCGUGCUUAACACAUGCAAGUCGAACGGAAAGGCCCUGCCUUUGUGGGGUGCUCGAGUGGCGAACGGGUGAGUAACACGUGAGUAACCUGCCCUUUACUUUGGGAUAACUUCAGGAAACUAGGGCUAAUACCGGAUAGGAGCUCCUGCUGCAUGGUGGGGGUUGGAAAGUUUCGGCGGCUGGGGAUGGACUCGCGGCUUAUCAGCUUGUUGGUGGGGUAGUGGCUUACCAAGGCUUUGACGGGUAGCCGGCCUGAGAGGGUGACCGGCCACAGUGGGACUGAGAAACCGCCCAGACUCCUACGGGAGGCAGCAGUGGGGAAUAUUGCGCAAUGGGCGGAAGCCUGAUGCAGCAACUCCGCGUGCGGGAUGACGGCCUUCGGGUUGGAAACCGCGUUCGCCUGUGACGAAGCGUGAGUGACGGUAAUUUGUAAAGAAGCACCGGCUAACUACGUG